rnacentral:tRNA from 1 species
GCCCACGAAGUGUUCCACACCAAAAUGCAAAUUUGGAGUCGCACCCCAAGUUGGUGCCGGGGCUUCUCCCGUUUUUACAUAGACGGGAGAAGA